AGAGUUUGAUCCUGGCUCAGAAUGAACGCUGGCGGCGUGCUUAACACAUGCAAGUCGAGCGAUGAAGAUACCUUCGCUUCUCUUAUUAGCGGCGGACGGGUGAGUAACACCUGGGAAACGUUCGUCAUAGAGUGGAAUUGCCUUUUGAAACGAAGAUUAAUACGGCAUAACCUUGAAAGCUGGCAUCAUCAUUCAGCCAAAGGAUCAAUUUGCUAUGAGAUGGACGCGCGGCGCAUUAGCUAGUUGGUGGGGUAACGGCUUACCAAGGAGGCUCUGUGUAGCCGGCAUGAGAGCGUGAUCGACCAUAUUGGGAGUGACACCAGUCCCAGACUCUUACCGGAGGCAGCAGUCGGGAAUAUUGCACAAUGGGGGAAACCCUGAUGUAGCAACACCGUGUGACUGAUGAAGGUUUUCGGAUGGUCAAGCUCUGUAUUUGGGGAAGAUAAUGACGGUACCCAAGGAGGAACCCACGGCUAAUUUCGUGCCAGCAGCCGCGGUAAUCCGUAGGUGGCGAGCGUUAUCCGGAUUUACUGGGGGUAAAGGGAGCGUAGGCGGAUGAUUAAGUGGGAUGUGAAUUCCCCGGGUUCAACUUGGGUGCUGCUUUCCAAACUGCUUAUUUAGAGUGCAGGAGAGGAGAGUGGAAUUCCUAGUGUAGCGGUGAAAUGGGUAGAGAUUAGGAAGACCCCCAGUGGGGAAGGGGACUCUUUGGACUGUAACUGCCGCUGAGGCUGGAAAGCGUGGGGAGCAACCAGGAUUAGAUUCGUUGUUCGUGCACUCAGUGAUGUCUGAAUACUAGGUGUGGUGGUUUCAUCUCAUCGGUGCAGCUGAUGCCGCAUUUAGUAUUCCUCGUGAGGAGUACGGUAGCAAGAUUAAUACUCAAAGGAAUCGAGGGGGAGCCCCACAAGUAGCGCAGCAUGUGGUAUUAUUAGCAGCAAGGAGAACAUCCUCACGCCCACUCAUCCUCCCUUGCAUUUCUAGUAAUAGAGGAACUCCCUUGGGCGACAAGGCGGCAGGUGCAGCAUGGUUGUCGUCUGCUGUUGUGGUGAGAUGGGGGGAGUACUCCCGCGAGGAGCGCCACCCUCGUCGUUAGUCAGCACCUUAAAGUGGACGAUUCUAGGGAGACUCCGGGGCUUAACCAGGAGGAAGGGUGGGGAGGGGCUCAAUUCUAUCAUGCCCCUUCAUGCUGUAGGGCUCCCCACUGUGUUCCAAUGUCGGGUCCAGAGAGAUGCAAAUCCCGUGAGGGGGAGCCAUACACCAUAAAACCAGUCUCAGUUCGGAUUGCAGUCUGCAACUCGCCUGCAUGAAGUUGGAGUUACUAGUAAUCGUGAAUCAGAAUGUCGCGGUGAAUACGUUCCCGGGCCUUGCACUCACCGCCCGUCA
rnacentral:rRNA from 1 species